rnacentral:rRNA from 1 species
UAGGGAAUCUUCGGCAAUGGACGGAAGUCUGACCGAGCAACGCCGCGUGAGUGAAGAAGGUUUUCGGAUCGUAAAGCUCUGUUGUUAGAGAAGAACGUUGGUAGGAGUGGAAAAUCUACCAAGUGACGGUACCUAACCAGAAAGGGACGGCUAACUACGUGCCAGCAGCCGCGGUAAUACGUAGGUCCCGAGCGUUGUCCGGAUUUAUUGGGCGUAAAGCGAGCGCAGGCGGUUCUUUAAGUCUGAAGUUAAAGGCAGUGGCUUAACCAUUGUACGCUUUGGAAACUGGAGGACUUGAGUGCAGAAGGGGGGAGUGGAAUUCCAUGUGUAGCGGUGAAAUGCGUAGAUAUAUGGAGGAACACCGGUGGCGAAAGCGGCUCUCUGGUCUGUAACUGACGCUGAGGCUCGAAAGCGUGGGGAGCAAACAGG